rnacentral:tRNA from 1 species
GCCUGGGUGGCUCAGUCAGUGAAGCAUCUGACUUCAGCUUAGGUCAUGAUUUCGGGGUUCAUGGGUUCAAGCCCCGUGUCGGGCU